CCACUUCUUCCCACCUUUCUGUUCUGCCUGCUCAGUGCAUUGGCCUCUUCCCCUGGCUGGCUCUCUGGAUGACAACAAGAUGGUAGCCAUCCCCAGGCAUCAUAUUAUCGUAGAACAACCGCAGGCAGAGAAAGGAAAGCAAUUACUGGAUACAUCGAAGAAACACUGAGCUUUGUUUUCUUUAGAACUUUCCUGAGAGUUUGUUCUCCGUUCUGGAAAAUCACAUUGGCGACGUCAGCACCACUUACGGAAUUUUCAUCCCCACUGCAGCAGACCUGCACGGGCCUGCACCGCUGGCUGCUACAGUCAAGUGAUUCCAGAUGGCAACUGAAGAUCCCACAGAUGGAAUUGUGGCUCUCUGGAGGAGACGAAUGCGAACAGGAUGGCUUGACCAUAAGCAACAGCCUUGGACAAUGGAGUGGAAGCCACACACUGAAGAAGUGGAGCAAUCAGAAAAGAUACCAGU